CGGGAGGCAGCAGUAGGGAAUCUUCCACAAUGGACGAAAGUCUGAUGGAGCAAUGCCGCGUGAGUGAAGAAGGGUUUCGGCUCGUAAAACUCUGUUGUUAAAGAAGAACACCUUUGAGAGUAACUGUUCAAGGGUUGACGGUAUUUAACCAGAAAGCCACGGCUAACUACGUGCCAGCAGCCGCGGUAAUACGUAGGUGGCAAGCGUUGUCCGGAUUUAUUGGGCGUAAAGCGAGCGCAGGCGGUUUUUUAAGUCUGAUGUGAAAGCCUUCGGCUUAACCGGAGAAGUGCAUCGGAAACUGGGAGACUUGAGUGCAGAAGAGGACAGUGGAACUCCAUGUGUAGCGGUGGAAUGCGUAGAUAUAUGGAAGAACACCAGUGGCGAAGGCGGCUGUCUAGUCUGUAACUGACGCUGANGCUCGAAAGCAUGGGUAGCGAACAGGAUUAGAUACCCUGGUAGUCCAUGCCGUAAACGAUGAGUGCUAAGUGUUGGAGGGUUUCCGCCCUUCAGUGCUGCAGCUAACGCAUUAAGCACUCCGCCUGGGGAGUACGACCGCAAGGUUGAAACUCAAAGGAAUUGACGGGGGCCCGCACAAGCGGUGGAGCAUGUGGUUUAAUUCGA
rnacentral:rRNA from 2 species